UUUUUGAACUAUUUUCAUAUAUAGGGCGCACCAAAUUUUAAGGCGCAUAGAAGAUACUGCAGUAAAACGUUUGACUGGGGCUGCGUUAUGCAUCCACUAGAUCGGGCUGUGCUAAAUCAAACGUUAUUAAAAACUCUUCACUCCCAUGGUAACGUUGUUCAAACGUUAAUGUGGAUAUUAACAAUAUCUCUGAACCUCCAACUUUGGUUCUUGAUUAAUGAAAACAUUCUUGGCAAAUGCUUUGGUGCAUCUUGCAGCACUGGAACAGACGGUGGACCGUCAGCGCGAUCCCGACAUCCAACUACCAGCUUUAAUAUACUGUAGCGACUCUCGCUAAUGAAUCUCUGGACAAUGUGCUUAUCUUCUGGUUUUAUUGUGGAGAAACAGGCUACUGUCGGCUGUAGCCUACGCCGAACAAAAACACACCAUCGCUCUCCAAAACAACAACAAUUCCCGCGUCCCCAUAGGUGGCACUAAGAUGAGUGACGUCACAUUGUGCGCCCUUCACUGACCAUCCCAAAACUCUGUAAAGUGCAACGCCGCUCCAGAACAUGAAAACACAGUCCGUUACAAUACGCUGUUGGAGCUGGAAUUACCGCGGCUGCUGGCACCAGACUUUCCCUCCAAUUGAUCCUCGUUAACCAGUAUGGAUCAACCAAUUGAUCCAUAUAUAUAGCGCUCCGGAUUAUAAGGCGCACGCGUCUUUUUUUAGAAAAAAGGAUUUUAAGUGCGCCUUAUAGUCGCAAAAAUACGGUAAUUACAAAAUUGUACACCGUAAGUGGUUAGGAAACCUUUUGGUUCAGGGUGAGCCAAGACAACUGGUGUUCGGCGUAUCGUGUAUACACGUAUUACAGUCAAAUUAUUAAUAAAGUGCUUUACAGACGUGAAAUCCCAAAACACACCGGGGAUUAGGCAAUUAAGUUAAUUAGCAACAUCUGUAUAAAAGCAGAAUGAAAACGUUUGUGCGACCUCUGCUCAGUAGAAAUAUAUUUUGAAAAGCUAUAGAAAAAAAAAGUACCGAUGGACCCUCGCAAAGUAAAUGAGUUGCUUGAGUUCAAGAUUAACAAAAUCUAUCCGACUGAUUUCAAUCAGAAUGAACGAUACGUUCUUAAAAGACGAGCUGAGAGGUAACCCACACGACUAUAUGGUAUGGUCUCCUAACGGAUUUUAAAUUUAUUUUAAAUGUUUAUGCAAUAUAAAUCCCUAGAUUGGGAACUUUAUUACCAGUGCCGCAGAAAAAAAGAUUAUCAGCGUCAUCAUCUUGCCAAGGUUGUAGUUACUCCACAAGAAGCGAACAACAUCUUUGUGGAGUUUCAUGCCAGUGAUAUUGGCGCUCAUUGUGGUAUUGAGAAAACCUUGGAUGCAAUCCUUCAAAGGUAUUACUGGGCUGGCAUGAAGGCUGACAUCCAAAAAUGGAUUGCCCAAUGUGAUGCAUGCCAGAAAAAGAGGACCUCUAUAAAAGAGAAAAUUCAUUGCAAACCCAUCGAGGUGACUGAGCCCUUUGAACUUGUGGGAAUGGACCUUGUUGGAAAGCUGAAAUGCACCAACAAUGGUUAUAUGUAGAUAUGUGUGAUGGUGGACUACUUCACAAAGUGGCUAGAAGUCUACCCACUAAGAACGAACGGAGCAGAAGAAGUCACACAGUGCAUUAUGGAUUUUGUUUAUAAGUAUGGCGCCCCAAAACGCAUCCUGACCGACCGUGGAAAAGAAUUUGUCAACAAAAUAAACUCAGGAUUGUGUGAAAAUCUUGGAAUUGCCAGAAGUCUGUGUGCUCCCUACCACCCUCAAACCAAUGGCUUGGUCGAAAAGCUAAAUGGCACAAUUCAAGGAUCUUUGAAGAAAAUGGUGCAGGACCACCCGAGUGACUGGGACAUAUACAUAAAGCCAACUGUAUUUGGCUUACAAACAAAAAAGUAGUUGACAACGAAAUACUCCCCUUACUACUUAUUGUAUGGAAGGGAGGCCCGUUACCCGUCUGAAAUACCAGAUAAGUGGCACGUAUGAUUGCCUUUUACAGCACUACAAGCUUUUAUUUUUCUUCACCUUUGAUACAGAUAUCUGAGGAACAUGUACUAAUGACAAAUGAGGACGUCUGCCCCCACAUUAACGACCUCAAAUAUGUCUAUAAUAAAGUGGAGGCAAACAUUGCAGAGAUGCAGGAAAAGGUGCGAAAGAGGAAACUUGUAAAGGGGGAGGACGACAGCUUUUUAGUGGGGGACAAAGUUUUGCGAAAAAAUAUCCGGGAAGAACAGAGAAAAGGGGGUAAGCUGGAAACGGACUUGCUGGGUCCAUACACAGUGACAAAUAUAGAUGGGAAGAGUGCUGACCUGAUGACCCUACAAGGGAAACAUGUUGGCAAAAUCAACAUUGACCAUCUAAAGAGGUAUGUGGAACCAGAAGUGUGGAUACCCGCCUGAAAUUGCUGCCACAUCCACUUCUCCUCCAUCACUGCAGCCCAGCCCCUUAAGGUGUUUGAGGGUUCCCCAAUCCUUGUCUGUACCCCCAAAAUCAGACUUCUUGAGCUCCAGUCCCCCGUCAUGGCA